rnacentral:rRNA from 1 species
AUGGACGCGGAACAGGAUUCGGACGGCUCGGCCCAGAGCACAGCUGAUAUGACUGCUUUCGUGCAAAAUCUUCUAGUUCAGAUGCAAACCAGGUUCCAAACUAUGUCAGAGAACAUCAUUACAAAGAUAGAUGAAAUGGGUGCAAGAAUCGAUGAAUUGGAGUUGAGCAUAAAUGACCUCAAGGCUGAAAUGGGCAGCGAUGGUAUGACCCCUACUAAAGUGAAGGACGAAGAAUCAAAGCCAGCAGACAGCUCUGCCUGA